UACAGAGGGGGCAAGCGUUGUUCGGAAUUACUGGGCGUAAAGGGCGCGUAGGCGGCCCUCUAAGUCGGACGUGAAAUCCCCGGGCUCAACCCGGGAACUGCGUCCGAUACUGGAGGGCUUGAAUCCGGGAGAGGGAUGCGGAAUUCCAGGUGUAGCGGUGAAAUGCGUAGAUAUCUGGAGGAACACCGGUGGCGAAGGCGGCAUCCUGGACCAACACUGACGCUGAGGAGCGAAAGCCAGGGGAGCAAACGGG
rnacentral:rRNA from 1 species